rnacentral:rRNA from 1 species
GAUGAACGCUGGCGGCGUGCCUAAUACAUGCAAGUCGAGCGAAUGGAUUAAGAGCUUGCUCUUAUGAAGUUAGCGGCGGACGGGUGAGUAACACGUGGGUAACCUGCCCAUAAGACUGGGAUAACUCUGGGAAACCGGGGCUAAUACCGGAUAACAUUUUGAACCGCAUGGUUCGAAAUUGAAAGGCGGCUUCGGCUGUCACUUAUGGAUGGACCCGCGUCGCAUUAGCUAGUUGGUGAGGUAACGGCUCACCAAGGUAACGAUGCGUAGCCGACCUGGGAGGGUGAUCGGCCACACUGGGACUGAGACACGGCCCAGAAUCCUACGGGAGGCAGCAGGAGGGAAUCUUCCGCAAUGGACGAAAGUCUGACGGAGCAACGCCGCGUGAGUGAUGAAGGCUUUCGGGUUGUAAAACUCUGUUGUUAGGGAAGAACAAGUGCUAGUUGAAUAAGCUGGCACCUUGACGGUACCUAACCAGAAAGCCACGGCUAACUACGUGCCAGCCGCCGCGGUAA